rnacentral:rRNA from 1 species
CUGGCUCAGGAUGAACGCUGGCGGCGUGCUUAACACAUGCAAGUCGAACGAAGCAGCUUCUGCUGCAAGAAAGCUGACUUAGUGGCGGACGGGUGAGUAACGCGUGGGUAACCUGCCUCAUACAGGGGGAUAACAGUUGGAAACGACUGCUAAGACCGCAUAACCCGCUAGUGUCGCAUGACACGGACGGAAAAAUAUUUAAUUUUAACGAGUUAAAAUUUGGUAUGAGAUGGGCCCGCGUCUGAUUAGCUAGUUGGUAAGGUAACGGCUUACCAAGGCGACGAUCAGUAGCCGACUUGAGAGAGUGAUCGGCCACAUUGGGACUGAGACACGGCCCAAACUCCUACGGGAGGCAGCAGUGGGGAAUAUUGGACAAUGGGGGAAACCCUGAUCCAGCGACGCCGCGUGAGUGAAGAAGUAUUUCGGUAUGUAAAGCUCUAUCAGCAGGGAAGAUAAUGACAGUACCUGACUAAGAAGCCCCGGCUAACUACGUGCCAGCCGCCGC